UACGUAGGGUGCGAGCGUUGUCCGGAAUUAUUGGGCGUAAAGGGCUCGUAGGCGGCUUGUCGCGUCGGGAGUGAAAACUCAGGGCUUAACCCUGAGCCUGCUUCCGAUACGGGCAGACUAGAGGUAUGCAGGGGAGAACGGAAUUCCUGGUGUAGCGGUGAAAUGCGCAGAUAUCAGGAGGAACACCGGUGGCGAAGGCGGUUCUCUGGGCAUUACCUGACGCUGAGGAGCGAAAGUGUGGGGAGCAAACAGG
rnacentral:rRNA from 1 species